rnacentral:rRNA from 1 species
AACGAACGCUGGCGGCAUGCCUAACACAUGCAAGUCGAACGAGACCUUCGGGUCUAGUGGCGCACGGGUGCGUAACGCGUGGGAACCUGCCCUUAGGUUCGGAAUAACUCCCCGAAAGGGGUGCUAAUACCGGAUAAUGUCUUCGGACCAAAGAUUUAUCGCCUUUGGAUGGGCCCGCGUUGGAUUAGCUGGUUGGUAGGGUAAAAGCCUACCAAGGCGACGAUCCAUAGCUGGUCUGAGAGGAUGAUCAGCCACACUGGGACUGAGACACGGCCCAGACUCCUACGGGAGGCAGCGGUGGGGAGUAUUGGACAAUGAGCGAUAGCCUGAUCCAGCAAUGCCGCGUGAGUGAUGAAGGCCUUAGGGUUGUAAAGCUCUUUUACCCGGGAUGAUAAUGACAGUACCGGGAGAAUAAGCUCCGGCUAACUCCGUG